rnacentral:lncRNA from 1 species
ACUGUAAAUAGGUUAAUGCCUCAACCAGUCUCCCCACAUCCCCUUCCCAAGUCUGCAGCUGCGAUGAGAAAGGAUGAGAGUGUGGACUGGGAUUUAAUUCAGGCGCUGACUCCGAGUGAUGGAGGUGAACAUCCCUUCCCUGCCUGUCUCAGGAUUAUCGUGAGGAUUUGGUAAGCCAAGCUAGUUAAAGAGCCCCAGGGACUUGCUUCCCAUCAUCCACCUGACAAACAUUUGUUCCCUGUCUUGUCGGGGCUGUCUUUUCAUCUGUAUGAUGGAAGGAGAUUGGGAAUAUUAGUGAACAUUCAGGACUUUGCUAGAUUUCCCAAUCUGGGUGAAGGCCGGAGAGGCGGAAGAUCAAGCUUCUGUGUUCAUUCCCUUCUGGAAUCCUGCGGUCCAACCUGAGGGCCCCGAUGUAUCCUGACUUCUCCCACUCAUUACCUUCCGUGGAGGCCGAUCCAAGCUUCAAGUCUUCAGAGGCCCUGCUGGCCUGUUCCCUUCCCUGUUGCCUGUGGCAAUAGCCCAAGAGAUUCAGGACCUAUGUUCCAGGUUCUCAAAGUUGCUAUGUCCCUCACAUGGCAAUCAAAUUCAGUUAACAUCUUUGAGGGCUCUGGGGGUGCUCAGAGGAAGGAGGGCUCCCCCAAAGCAGGUGGAGCUCUAGUCAUGACUGUGGCUUAUUUCACCACAUAUUCCACAGCUUGCUGUGGGGUAGGGAGGAGAGGCAACAGGAAACCUCAGAGGCUGCAGUGUUUAUGGGAGCCGAGGGUGAUGCGGCAUCCUUUACUCAAUAGGUGGAUGCUCUGCCCCAGGCUGGAGAGGAUGGCUU